rnacentral:lncRNA from 1 species
UACAACACAUUUUACCAGAUGCAACGCUUAGGUGGCACUUGCCAAAAUAUACCGAUGAAUAUAGAUCCUAAUCCAUAAACCGAAAUCAGAAGCAAAUGAUCGAGCAACAUAUUUGGUGAUGAACCCUAAUAACAACAAGAGGAAGUUAGGUAAUGAGUAGAAAAACGUCACUUUCAAGUUUCGAGCAAUCCAAAAAUAAAACGGAUCAAUGUAUCUUCACCUGCAUCACUGGAAGAUAACCCCUUCCCAAGGCCAAGGAAUAUUAGAUGAUAAAUUAUAGCCGCCUAGCUUGGAGCUGCUUCAUGGCAG